GCUGGGCGCGGUGGCUCACGCCUGUAAUCCUAGCACUUUGGGAGGCUGAGGUGGGUGGAUCACCUGAGGUCAGGAGUUCGAGACCAGCCUGACCAACAUGGAGAAACCCCAUCUCUA
rnacentral:SRP_RNA from 1 species